rnacentral:rRNA from 1 species
UACGGAGGGUGCAAGCGUUAUCCGGAUUCACUGGGUUUAAAGGGUGCGUAGGCGGCUUAUUAAGUCAGGGGUGAAGGACGGUGGCUCAACCAUCGCAGUGCCCUUGAUACUGAUGAGCUUGAAUACACUUGAGGUAGGCGGAAUGUGACAAGUAGCGGUGAAAUGCGUAGAUAUGUCACAGAACACCAAUUGCGAAGGCAGCUUACUAAGGUGCAAUUGACGCUGAGGCACGAAAGCGUGGGGAUCAAACAGG